rnacentral:rRNA from 1 species
UAUUUGUUUUUUACCGAAAAGGUUUGAUUUUUAUUUUAGUUGCGUUAGCGCAUAUCUUCGGGUAGAGUUAUAAACUAGAAUAACGUUGUUAUAAAUUAGUCGUUUUCUUUUAUAUCUGUUUAUUGUCAUAGCUUUCAAUUUAUUUACGGGGCAGUGAGGUCCUGUAUAGGAACACAUGAUUUUUAUAUCUUUUUCUAAACAGGGUUAAAAUCACCCUAUUAUAGUAGUUUCGUUAUAGAUUUUAUUAUAGUUAAUUACAUUGUGGUUAAAUGACAUUUAUAUUCAAUAUUUUGUUUUAUAUAUGAUACAAUAAGUAACUAAAUAAAUUAUAUUGUUUCUCAAGCGCAUUCCGUAUGUUUAUUAAAAACAUUUCUAUAAAAAAUUUUUUAUAGUAGGGCCUGCUCGRUGUUUAAUUAUCAAUGGCCGCAGUAUCUUGACUGUGCGAAGGUAGCAUAAUUAAUUGCCCUUUAAUUGGGGGCUUGUUUGAAUGGCUUGACGUGGUUGCCGUGAACAUUAUUUUUGUUUUUGAAAUUAAUUUUGAGGGCACAGAAUCCUCUAAUUUUAAUAAGACGGAAAGACCCCGGGAUCUUACAUUUUGCCUGGGGCAGGUUAUAUUUUUUCAAAUUUUAUAUUAAGAUCCUAUAUUUGGUUUAUUGAUUUAAGUUACCCCGGGGAUAACAGUGUAAUAAUUUAUUAGAGAUCGUAUCGAUUAAAUUGUUUGCCACCUCGAUGUUGACUUAGGCUUAUAACUAGGCGCAGUAGUUUUGUUAUGUGGU